UACGGAGGGUGCAAGCGUUGUUCGGAAUUACUGGGCGUAAAGCGCGCGUAGGCGGUUUGUUAAGUCAGAUGUGAAAGCCCAGGGCUUAACCCUGGACGUGCAUUUGAAACUGGCAGACUUGAGUAUUGGAGGGGGUGGUGGAAUUCCCGGUGUAGAGGUGAGAUUCGUAGAUAUCGGGAGGAAUACCGGUGGCGAAGGCGACCACCUGGCCAAAUACUGACGCUGAGGUGCGAAGGCGUGGGGAGCAGACAGGAUUAGAUACCCUGGUAGUCCACGCGGUAAACGAUGAGAACUAGGUGUUGGGACGGUUGAUCGUCUCAUUUGCCGCAGCUAACGCAUUAAGUUUCUCCGCCUGGGGGAGUACGGUCGCAAGAUUAAAACUCAAA
rnacentral:rRNA from 1 species